GAGUUUGAUCCUGGCUCAGGACGAACGCUGGCGGCGCGCCUAACACAUGCAAGUCGAACGAGCGAGAGAGAGCUUGCUUUCUCGAGCGAGUGGCGAACGGGUGAGUAACGCGUGAGGAACCUGCCUCAAAGAGGGGGACAACAGUUGGAAACGACUGCUAAUACCGCAUAAGCCCACGGGUCGGCAUCGAGCAGAGGGAAAAGGAGCAAUCCGCUUUGAGAUGGCCUCGCGUCCGAUUAGCUAGUUGGUGAGGUAACGGCCCACCAAGGCGACGAUCGGUAGCCGGACUGAGAGGUUGAACGGCCACAUUGGGACUGAGACACGGCCCAGACUCCUACGGGAGGCAGCAGUGGGGAAUAUUGCACAAUGGGGGAAACCCUGAUGCAGCGACGCCGCGUGGAGGAAGAAGGUCUUCGGAUUGUAAACUCCUGUUGUUGGGGAAGAUAAUGACGGUACCCAACAAGGAAGUGACGGCUAACUACGUGCCAGCCGCCGCGGUAAUAC
rnacentral:rRNA from 1 species